rnacentral:rRNA from 1 species
GCCAGACUCCUACGGGAGGCAGCAGUGGGGAAUAUUGGGCAAUGGAGGCAACUCUGACCCAGCAACGCCGCGUGAAUGAUGAAGGUCUUCGGAUUGUAAAGUUCUUUUCUAAGGGAAGAAGAAAGUGACGGUACCUUAGGAAUAAGCCUCGGCUAACUACGUGCCAGCAGCCGCGGUAAUACGUAGGAGGCAAGCGUUAUCCGGAAUGACUGGGCGUAAAGGGUGCGUAGGCGGACUGUUAAGUCAGCGGUAAAAGCCCGGGCCUCACCCCCGGCGAGCCGUUGAAACUGGCUGUCUUGAGAUGUCGAGAGGUAUGCGGAAUGCGCAGUGUAGCGGUGAAAUGCUUAGAUAUUGCGCAGAACUCCGAUUGCGAAGGCAGCAUACCGGCGGCGAUCUGACGCUGAGGCACGAAAGCGUGGGUAUCGAACAGGAUUAGAUACCCCGGUACC